AUACGUUUGACAGUUUGUAAACAAUCUCCCGCGACCUGCGCGUGUGAGCGUCUUGGUGGAGCGUCUUUGUACAUAGUGCCAAAUUUGACUUCUGGACUGCAUUCUGCAACAUUUUCAAGAAGGACAAGGAGAGCUGAGGUAAAGUUAGCAGUGUCGAUGGUGGAACACAAUGUGCCAUUUGCAGUAGCCGAUCACUUCAGCCCAUUGCUGAAAGAAUGCUUCAAAGAUUCCCCUACUGCACAGAGCUUCAAGGCUGCCCGCACAAAAAUGUCCUGCAUAAUAAAUGAAGCAGUGGCUCCUCACUUUGGAAAGGAACUGGUCAUGAAGAUGAGGACCAAUCCUUUCACGUUGAUCACAGAUGGAUCAAAUGAUACAGGACGUGAGAAGAUGAACCCGCUCACUGUGCGGGUAUAUGACAGUGAUCUCAGCAAAGUUGUCCACAGGUUCCUGGAUAUGUGCCCCACCAGCGGGCCAAACUGCGGCACAGCUGAAGUCAUCUACAAGAAGAUGGAUGAGGCCAUGCAGAAAAACGCCAUACCAUGGAGAAACUGUGUCAGUCUGUCAGUUGAUAAUGCCCCUGUCAAUACAGGAGCAAGGGACUCCAUCGCAUCCAGAGCUCAUCAAGAACAUGGCAGUAUCUACAUCCAUGGGUGCCCUUGUC
ensembl:lncRNA